CCACACUCGCCAAUGAGCCCAUCACAACCCAUUUGAUCCAUUGCAAACCAAAUAUGAAGCUCUCCCUCAAAAACACAGACGACCAGCGCCGCUACCCACUCAUCAAAGCCAAGAUCCCCAUCACCGUCUUCAACCUCCCUUUUACCACCUCCGUCGCCACCACCCACCCCUCCGCCGUCUCCUUUUCCCUCUCCACCAACUUUUCCUCCGGCCCCUCCCUCAAACUCUCCACCAACACCUCCUCCGCCACCACCACCUCUCCUCCUCCAUUAUCUUUCUCCCUCAAGUCCGGGACCGGCCUCUUCGGCUCCCCUAAGAAUUCGCCGCUUCUCAUCUCUGCCCACUUCACCCUCUUUCCCUCCCCCAACCCUAAUCCCACUUUUACCCUCCAAAUCAAGCCCCGAU
rnacentral:lncRNA from 1 species